GAAAGAUGGCGGACACGGGAGUGUCGCCGUUUGCCAAAAAAGACGCGACGAUUUCACGGAUUUUGACAGCAGCGGUGGAAAAUUUCCAACCACCGUGAAGCUCAUGACUGGCGUCCAGUGGCUUAAAUUGGACAAAACGAAUCUGUCAACUGUUCCUGAAGAAAUGGGGAAACUUGUGAAACUUGAAAAUCUGUCGAUGAAAGGAAACAACCUGGACCGUCUGUACGGCGAGUUGACAGACCUGAACUGCCUGCGGAGUUUGAAUUUGCGACGGAACAAGGUGAAGACCUCGGGCGUGCCUGCGGAGCUCUUCAAGCUGGAGGAACUGCCCACCCUGGACCUGAGCCACAACAACCUGAGGGAGGUUCCUGCUGGCAUGGAAACGGUCAGGUCGCUGCUGGUGCUCAACUGUGCUCAACCUGAGCCACAAUCUCCAUAAAUCCAAGGGCUGAACCAGGUCAAAUUUCCCAUUUCUGCUUCAACAUCGAAACCGAACGGAAACUGAGUCUGGAGACGACCGUGCUCGUCGAGCCCUACACCCUGCCGGACGGCCGAGUCAUCAAAGUGGGUGGGGAGCGAUUCGAAGCGCCCGAGGCUCUCUUCCAGCCUCACCUCAUCAAGGACAAGGUAUCGCCGAACUGGUGUUCAACACCAUCCAGACGGCGGACAUUGACAUGCGCUCCGAGCUGUACAAACACAUUGUCCUGUCAGGAGGCUCAACCAUGUACCCCGGUCUUCCAAGUCGACUCGAACGAGAAAUCAAACAACUCUAUCUGGAGCGGGUCCUAAAAAAUGACAUAGAUAAACUAUCUAAAUUCAAAAUCAGGAUCGAGGACCCGCCGAGGAGAAAGGACAUGGUGUUCAUCGGAGGAGCCGUUCUGGCCGAAGUCAUGAAGGACAGGGAGACGUUUUGGAUGACGAGCGAGGAGUACCAGGAAAAGGGCGUCCACGUCCUCAGCAAACUCGGGGCGCGCUCAAAUUAAUUAAUUCGAGGCCAUUUCUACUCUGCAUUUACCUUUCCUGUGUUAAUCAUUUGUUUUUUUUGUCACUAAGCAAUACUCUUUUGUAGGUUUUUUUUUUUAAAUUUAAAAAAAAUGUUUGAACAAAGAUAAUUUUUAUGUUUCUUUUUCAGCUGCACCUUUUUUGUAAAGCAAAACUAGUACCAAAUGCUAAUUUGCAUAAUAACAUUUUCCUUUAAAAUAAAAUCGCAAUUGAUUUGUAUGUUUUGAUCUUUCUGCUAUUUUCAUCCUUGAUGUGAUGUUUCAUUUCUUUUUGUAUUAGCGAAAAAAAAAUAAUAAGAAAUCUUUUGAUCCUGUUGGGUGCCAUAAUAUUGUCAAGUUCACUGAACUCUUCGUUUGGUUCAUUUCUGUCAAAAUCAGAACUUCAUGAUUUUGUAGAUCAAAAAAAUUAAAGUGAUUAUUUUACU